rnacentral:tRNA from 1 species
GCGACAGUAGCUCAGUUGGUAGAGCAUUAGCUUCCCAAGCUAAGGGUCGCGGGUUCGAAUCCCGUUUGUCGCUC